GAGAAAGUCCCGGUAGUUUUCCGUGAAGCGCGUAUCGAGGAUUGUAUUGUUUUAGACAGAUGACGUCAUUGAUGACAUCCGAAGCUUCGCCGCCCGUCCGUACCACGUGACGGGUUUAUGAAGUUGUCUGAAUCCACACGGUUUUAUUACACAUCCAUUAUCUACACAUGCACAAAAUGA